rnacentral:rRNA from 1 species
AACGAACGCUGGCGGCAUGCCUAACACAUGCAAGUCGAACGAGACCUUCGGGUCUAGUGGCGCACGGGUGCGUAACGCGUGGGAAUCUGCCCUUGGGUUCGGAAUAACUCGCCGAAAGGCGUGCUAAUACCGGAUGAUGUCGUAAGACCAAAGAUUUAUCGCCCAGGGAUGAGCCCGCGUAAGAUUAGGUAGUCGGUGGGGUGAUGGCCUACCAAGGCGUCGACGGGUAGCCGGCCUGAGAGGGUGACCGGCCACAUUGGGACUGAGAUACGGCCCAG